rnacentral:rRNA from 1 species
GACGAACGCUGGCGGCGUGCUUAACACAUGCAAGUCGAACGGAAAGGCCCUGCUUUCGUGGGGUGCUCGAGUGGCGAACGGGUGAGUAACACGUGAGUAACCUGCCCUUGACUUUGGGAUAACUUCAGGAAACUGGGGCUAAUACCGGAUAGGAGCUCCUGCUGCAUGGUGGGGGUUGGAAAGUUUCGGCGGUUGGGGAUGGACUCGCGGCUUAUCAGCUUGUUGGUGGGGUAGUGGCUUACCAAGGCUUUGACGGGUAGCCGGCCUGAGAGGGUGACCGGCCACAUUGGGACUGAGAUACGGCCCAGACUCCUACGGGAGGCAGCAGUGGGGAAUAUUGCACAAUGGGCGGAAGCCUGAUGCAGCAACGCCGCGUGCGGGAUGACGGCCUUCGGGUUGUAAACCGCUUUCGCCUGUGACGAAGUGUGAGUGACGGUAAUGGGUAAAGAAGCACCGGCUAACUACGUG